GUUCUCCAUUCCCAAGCAAGAGGGAACCCUGAUGGCCAGAAGGAAUAUAGGAACCAUAGCACAUGGCACAGAACAGGAUACACUUGGGAGAUUCUCUUGUAAACUGAGUGAAAGAGCUGCCAGACACCAUCUCCUGGAAAUGCCUAGAAGAGACAGGGGGCUAAGAGGAAAACAGCAAACUGUGAAAGGGAGAUCUGUCAGCCUGCAUCAUAUCACCCACCUCCCCGACCUGGGCUCCUCAUACUGACUCAGUAAGUUCAGUCUACUGGCAAAUCAUAC
ensembl:lncRNA